rnacentral:rRNA from 1 species
GACGAACGCUGGCGGCGUGCUUAACACAUGCAAGUCGAACGGAAAGGCCCUGCUAUUGUGGGGUGCUCGAGUGGCGAACGGGUGAGUAACACGUGAGUAACCUGCCCUUGACUUUGGGAUAACUUCAGGAAACUGGGGCUAAUACCGGAUAGGAGCUCCUGCUGCAUGGUGGGGGUUGGAAAGUUUCGGCGGUUGGGGAUGGACUCGCGGCUUAUCAGCUUGUUGGUGGGGUAGUGGCUUACCAAGGCUUUGACGGGUAGCCGGCCUGAGAGGGUGACCGGCCACAUUGGGACUGAGAUACGGCCCAGACUCCUACGGGAGGCAGCAGUGGGGAAUAUUGCACAAUGGGCGGAAGCCUGAUGCAGCAACGCUGCGUGCGGGAUGACGGCCUUCGGGUUGUAAACCGCUUUCGCCUGUGACGAAGCGUGAGUGACGGUAAUGGGUAAAGAAGCACCGGCUAACUACGUG